AGUUCGAUCAUGGCUCAGAUUGAACGCUGGCGGGAUGCUACAUGCAAGUCGAACGGCAGCACGGACUUCGGUCUGGUGGCGAGUGGCGAACGGGUGAGUAAUGUAUCGGAACGUGCCUAGUAGCGGGGGAUAACUACGCGAAAGCGUAGCUAAUACCACAUACGCCCUUCGGGGAAAAGCGGGGGACCUUCGGGCCUCGCGCACUAUUAAGAGCGGCCGAUAUCCGGAUUAGCUAGUUGGUGGGGUAACGGCUCACCAAGGCGACGAUCCGUAGCUGGUUUUGAAAGGGACGACCAGCCACACUGGGACUGAGACACGGCCCAGACUCCUACGGGAGGCAGCGGUGGGAAUUUUGGACAAUGGGAAACCUGAUCCAGCCAUCCCGCGUGUGCGAUAAGGCCUUCGGGUUGUAAGCACUUUUGGCAGGAAAGAAACGGCGCAGAGUAAUACCCCCGUGCAACUGACGAAACACCUGCAGAAUAAGCACCGGCUAACUUACGUGCCAGCAGCCGCGGUAAUACGUAGGGUGCAAGCGUUAAUCGGAAUUACUGGGCGUAAAGCGUGCGCAGGCGGUUCGGAAAGAAAGAUGUGAAAUCCCAGAGCUUAACUUUGGAACUGCAUUUUUAACUACCGAGCUAGAGUGUGUCAGAGGGAGGUGGAAUUCCGCGUGUAGCAGUGAAAUGCGUAGAUAUGCGGAGGAACACCGAUGGCGAAAGCCUCCUGGGACCAGCACUGACGCUCAUGCACGAAAAGCGUGGGAGCAAACAGGAUUAGAUACCCUGGUAGUCCACGCCUAAACGAUGUCAACUAGCUGUUGGGGCCUUCGGGCCUUGGUAGCGCAGCUAACGCGUGGUGCGACCGCCUGGGAGUACGGUCGCAAGAUUAAAG
rnacentral:misc_RNA from 1 species